AUUGAACGCUGGCGGCAGGCCUAACACAUGCAAGUCGAGCGAGCGGCGGACGGGUGAGUAAUGUAUGGGGACUGCCCGUUAGAGGGGGAUAACUACUGGAAACGGUAGCUAAUACCGCAUACUAUCGGAUAACCCAUAUGGGAUUAGCUAGUAGGUGAGGUAAUGGCUAACCUAGGCGACGAUCCCUAGCUGGUAUGAGAGGAGGAUCAGCCACACUGGGACUGAGACACGGACCAGACUCCUACGGAGGCAGCAGUGGGGAAUAUUGCACAAUGGGCGCAGGUCUGAUACAGCAAUGCCGAGUGUAUGAAGAAGGCCCUAGGGUUGUAAAGUACUUUCAUUCGGGAGGCGUUACCGACAGAAAAAGCACCGGCUAACUCCGUGCCAGCAGCCGCGGUAAUUC
rnacentral:rRNA from 1 species